rnacentral:misc_RNA from 1 species
UUUUACUGCUAGACCAUGUCAAGAAAUUGGAAAGGGAGAAGCGACUCAAUAUUAUUGUGGAUGGAAACCUGAAUAACUAUGAUAUCAGAGAGGUGGAGACAAUGGCCCAAGUUGCGCUCCUAUGCACACAGCCAUCUUCGGAAAGCCGACCAACAAUGUCACAGGUCGUUCGGAUGUUAGAAGGCGAGGGGCUUGCAGGGAGGUGGGAGGAAUGGCAGCAGUUAGAGGUGAGUCGCAGACAAGAUUACGAGAGAAUGCAAAGAAGAUUUGAAUUGGGGAAUGAUUCUAUUUAUAGACAGGAAGCUAUCCAGUUGUCUGGUGGAAGAUGAGGUACCAAACUUUGACUCUCAUCCCUUUAGCUAUGAGAACAAUGUCAAUUAUUUUUGUUAGUUCAGUUUUAUUUUGGGGGUCAUCUUUAUUCCUUAAGGCAUUUUAUUAACCACUUUAUGAAAUUCUUG